UACGAACUGUGCGAACGUUAUUCGGAAUCACUGGGCUUAAAGGGUGCGUAGGCGGUUAUCCAAGUCAGGUGUGAAAUCUCUCGGCUCAACCGGGAAACUGCGCUUGAAACUGGGUGACUGGAGGGAUGCAGGGGUGUGUGGAACUUCCGGUGGAGCGGUGAAAUGUGUAGAUAUCGGAAGGAACGCCAGCAGCGAAAGCGGCACACUGGGCAUUUACUGACGCUGAGGCACGAAAGCUAGGGGAGUGAACGGG
rnacentral:rRNA from 1 species